rnacentral:lncRNA from 1 species
AAAAGUCCACAGUCCAGUGUCUCAUCUGAGACAAGCCAAGUAUCUUCCAUCUAUGAGCCUGUAAAAUAAAAAAACAAUUUAUUUACUUCCUAGAUACAGUGCAGGUACAGGCAUUGUGUAAAUGCUGCUGUUCCAAAUGGGAGAAAUUGGCCAAAACAAAGGGGCUACAGGCCCCAUGCAAGUCUGAAAUCCAACGGGGCAGUCAAAUCUUAAAGCUCGAAAGUGAUCUCCUUUGACUCCAUGUCUUGCAUCCUGGUCACGCUGAUGUAAGAGAUGAGUUUCCAUGGUCUUGGGCAGCUCCACCCCUGUGGCUCUGCAGAGUAUAGUCUCCCUUCCGGCUGCUUUUGUGGGCUGGUGUUGAGUGUUUGUGGCUUUUCCAGGCACACGGUGCAAGCUGUCGGAUCUAGCAUUCUGCUGUCUGAAGGACAGUGGCCCUCUUCUCACAGCUCCACUAGGUAGUGCCCUGCUAGGGACUCUGUGUGGGGGCUGUGACAUGUGGGAAUUAUGGGACAUGACACUUGGGAAUUAUGGGAGUUACAAUUCAAGAAGAGAUUUGGGUGGGGACACAGCCAAACCAUACCAAUGGAUGAAACAACUGAGUCACAGAAUUAAUAACUUGCCCAUGAUUACACAGCUUAUAAGAAGAACUAGGAUUUGAGCCUUCCUAAUCUGGCCCUAGGUCCUGUGCUUUUAAUAAAUAACCUCGUUAAACCAAAGUGUAAUCUGUAGACACAGGACCUUCUACAUAAAUCUGCAUAUCCCUGCAGUUGUUUCUCAAACUGCAGGAUAAAACCCUCUUGGUGAGUCCUGAAAUCAAAUUACUGUGUCAUAACUAGCAAUUUUUAAAAAGCAAAAUAGAUUAAUAGAGCAGAAAACAGAAGAAUUUAUCAAAAUGCAUUGCACAUCGUAUGUAAGUAUCAGCUGAUAAAACUUCUGUUUUAGUGAGCAGUCUGUGUUGAUGUCCGUGCCUAUUCCUACUGAGUCACAAUGCUGAUUUUAUUGUGGGUUACAAUCAAAACAAUUGGGAAACCACUGCUUAAAACCCAUCUGGGGCAGCUCAUGGUCUCCCUUUCCCUGAUACUAUCUUAUAAACUAAAGUCACUUUCAAUAAAACAACCCAGAAAGGACCUUGAACCAGAAGCAGUAUCCAGUGGGACUUGACCAUGAUAUUCAUGCCAUUUUGAAACCCAUCUUAGGGUCCCAAAAAUAUGAUCAUCCUCUUCUGCCUCAGCCCCCUGUUUGUUAUAUACCACAGUCUUGCUUCCCUGGGUGCCAGGCCAUUGACAGUGCCACAGUAUCUGUUCCCCAUUCUCAUUCAUGGCUGUUUGAGAUUCUGCAAUAACUUAAAAGGUCAGAACUUAAGGAAAUGGAUUAUAGUAUCUGAGUGGUCUCUAUCUUUUCAUGAAGACAAAGAAUCUUGGGGAAAAUAAAAAGGAUGUCUCUUAAAGCUUGUCUCAGAGGUUUACAUAUGCAUCCCCGCACAACGCCAGGACCAAGUUUCACAAUGUUUAUCCCUAUUUCAAUCCCCAUUGCCUUUUUAUCCCCAUCCCCUUAAGGCUCACCAUGUACAGUUGUGCAGGUUGUACACAAACAUACAUGAUAGUCCUCCAUAUGACAGUGAUGUGAAGGAAGGGAAGCCAUCAGGAGAUAGGACUUGCUUGUUUCUGAAACCUCUUGUGACCCUUGUGUCCCUUACUCUGCCCAACAUAUAAAAAACACUCCAUCAAUAUGUAUUAUUUCUAUACACACAUAUACUACGUAAAAUG